rnacentral:tRNA from 1 species
GCCUUCUUGGCACAGUAGGCAGAGUGUCAAUUUCAUAAUCUGAAGGUCCUCAGUUUGAGUCUCAGAGAGGGCA